GAGUGCACUUUAUGAUGUCAUUGUCCAAAUCUGAGAAGUAUCAAAUAAACCAGAAAGUUUCAUAUAUAUUUUUCAAAUAAUCAAAGUAUAUUUUAUACACACAAACAUGAGUGGCAAGAUAAUAUUGGGGAACACAGUGGACAUGUGUGCUCAAGUGCUGGUUUGUGCAGAUAACUAUGAUGGCAAAUUCCAAGACAACAACAAAAGUGUAAAGAGGAAAGGUUCAAACUUAGAAUAUUGUGUCCAGGCUAUUCCCCACUAGUAUAGUGUGAGAAAUUGGAUACCUUGCUUUUGACAACCUUGGGUACCAUUUUAGACACUGCUUUGAAUGCUUGGGGAUUCUUUCUCCAUGUAUUCCUAUGGAACUCUACUAGUGAGUCCUGGUAUAGGCAACAUUCUAAAGUGUGAAACCAUUGAUAGGCUGCACUUACUUUUCCUCUGGGAUUUUUUUUUUUUUAAACACAGUCUUUUCAGGUUCCUCCAUUCAUGGAGAAAAGUGCCUACAACACAAACAUGAUUGUAAGAUAGUGUUGCCUUUCAUUCAGGAGCUAGAUAGGCACAAAGGGGAAGUAAGAAAAGGAAGUCACAGUAUUUAUUCUUCUCUUCCUACCAAGGCAAUAUGGGAAGCUGAGAUCAGGAUCAUUAAUACCAAUGAGAAAUAUUGGGUUUAUUCUAUUUUUCAAUUCACUUAGCUUUCUUUUAAAAAAUUGAGAGGUUUGUCUUUGUCACAUGGUAUGUCAUGAUUAAUCAGAUAUAUUGGAUAGGCAAAUGGUUUAAUAGUUAUUGUAAUUUGUCACAUCAGACAUGGCUUAUUAUGCAUUAUUAAUACCUAAAUGUAAAAUUAGUUAAACGGAGUCUGGCUUCUGUUCAAGACAGUUGUGUGUUAGCAGCAGCAAGUUUGAAAGAACCGCUAUAGGAAUGGCUUAACCAAUAUCACCUUAUCCUUUUUAUAUCAGUAUCAAGGCAUCCUUAUGCGAUAAUUAAGUUGAGGAAAUCUUUAUUCUACAGGAAGGCAGACAGCCAUCCCAUUGAGAGGAGGAGUCUCCAGGCUUCAUUAACAUGGAGACCUAGGAGGUCACAUAAUCUGAAAAGGUGCUGUUUUCUUUUUUUCCUCCAAAGCAAGAUGGAAGUUCAAAAACAUAAUUUUAAUGCAUUUUUAUUUGCAAACCCUAAAAUAUGUUUAUUUUGGUACUAUUUUUUUCUUUUGCUAAAUUUGCUAAAUAUACAGUUAUAGAUUUUAAACAUGAGUAAUAAACCUUGGAAACUUCUUCAAAAUUAGAUGAUUACAAAAGAAAUUGGAGUCCUGUUGGUGUCUGCACAGGAACAACAGUUCACUUUGAGGAAUGUGAGGAGAUCAGAUCUUUUCCUUUCUUCUCAGUCAACAAAGGGCUUCUAUCAUUAACAUCCACUUUGCUAAUUUCUCAGGUGUUUUACAAGGAUAGGGGAUUGUCUCAGUACUGCGCAAACUGUAUCUGAGGCAAUGGCUGCUGCCUCAUAUUUGUAAGUCUACUCUGAUUUUAAUUUCUCAUAUCAAUCCAUUCUAAGGAGGAGACCAUCUCUGGUUAGGUAGGUUCCCAUAGUCAGUCAGUCCAAAGAUGGCUCAGCAUACCCCUCUCAAACUCCAGCCCAUUCCAAGCCAGUUGUAUACUUUUAACAUCUCUUAAAAAUUGAACCACUCUAUAUGUUACCAUAAACAGACAUAUUCUUUUCUAAUUGUUUGACAAGAUCAAUUUCCUAAAAUAUUCAUUGUUUUAUAUUCAAUGACCAUAUUAUUUUUCAUUCAGUUCACAUUCCGUACUUACUCUAUAAUUAGAGUCCUACUAAACAUAGUGAGACAUUUAGAAGAAUUAUAAAAUGUGAGCCCAGACUAUAAGGAGAUCAUGUAUACUUGGAAAGGGAAGACUAAAAUAUUCAAAGAGAUGGGAUGUACUUUAUAGUUAGUUGGGGAUACAUACAUUUUGUGUUCUGUGGAAAUCCAUAGGAGAUCAGAUAAGGUUUGGGCUGUUAGCUAAACCUUUGUGGUAAAGUGAAUUCAAACUUGAGCUAGAGGACAGCUAGUAUUUCAUUAGGUGAAGGGACAAGAAAGAAAAUACUAAAAGGAACAAUGGAAGGAAAGGCUUGGCACUAUAAAUGUGUGUGCCACAGAAUAUGAGCAGAACUUGUUUGUAAGGUGGAUAGGAUAAGGCCAGAUGACAAAAGACUUCUAAAAAGGUUGGUCAGAGCAGUUGGAUUUAAUGUGCUAGUUCAUCAGAAACUCCUGAAAAUUCUGCAUGCCUCCAGAGAGUUGGCAAAUGGAAGGCAGGGAUUUACCCACAAGCAGCAUAGACUUUUGGUUUUGAUAUGUAGACUCAUGUUUGCAUUUGCUUGACACAUGAGUUCUAGGGUUAAGAGCCCAGAGUGAUCUUUUUUUAUACAGAGGUCCAGUCAACAUAGAGUACCUUCUGUUCUGUGAAGGGAUAUUGAAUCAUGAGAGGCCAGUAAAACCAUCACUGGACUUUGGUAAAUCCAUCAGGAAUCUUAGAGGCUUCUUGUUCAUUUACAGAAAAAAUACCAAGGGAAGAGAACAAUAAAAUUUUUUUUUUUACCUAAGCCUUUUAAAAAAUUACCCUUGAGAUUCCAUAGGGUGAUGUAGUUAUGCCAUGCCAUUAAUGUAGCCUAGAAAUACUUUGGCUAUGAUGCUUUGAAAAUGAUCACUAUUGAUGGGACUUGCCUCAAAUUUAGGCCUGAUACGGUCUCUGUGAAUUUGCAUAAACAAAUUCUCUGGAAGUUGUGUCAUUAAAAUACAUUGCUGUUUAAUAUGAUGGAUUUGCUGUUUAAUAUAUUUAGUUACAAAGCUACUGAAAUCUCUUCUCCACAAUGGAUUCUUGAUGUACUUCACUUUGCUUAUAGUGUAAUAUAGAAGAUACCAGUAGCAUAAUUCACAUUUACAUUUUCAAGUACUCUCUCUGAGCUUUCUAUAUAGGCAGUUAAUCCCUCUUUUAUGACUUUUAUUUAUAAUAUAUAAAUACACAUUCAGCCUUCUUAAUAUGAAAUCAUCACAACUAGAAUAAUUCUGAUUAAUGAUGAUACUUUUCCCAGUAAGUUUCUGUUUUCUAUAGAAGAGGAUUCUUUGCAGUAAGAAUUAUCUUUUUCAGUUUAUUUAUGCAUGACUUUAUUGCCAAACUGCUGAAAAGUUUUCAAAGUCAAUUGUCAUUACUCUAUUAUAUUCCUACCAGUAGUGAAUGAAGGUUCCAGUUACUCCACACUCUUAUGAACACUUGGUAUGAUCAGCCUUUUCUUUUUUUUUUUUCCUUUUUGAGUGUUUACCUAUUAUUAAUUUCCUUUUUUGUUUUUUAAAUUUUUAUUGAGGGUAGUUGAUUUACAAUGUUCCUUAAAUUUCUGCUUGUAACAAAGUGAUGCAGUCACACACGCACACACACACACACAUGCAUAUAUGUAUAAAUAUAUAUGUACAAUUCUUUUUUUCAUACUAUCUUCCAUCAUGUUCUAACCCAAACCUUUUGCACAGCAAAGGAAACCAUUUAAAAAAAUGGAAAGACAACCCACAGAAUGGGAGAAAAUCUUUGCAAAUGAUGCAACAGUCAAGGGCCCGAUUUCUGAAAUAUACAAACAGCUCAUACAACUCAACGACAAAAAAAUAAAUAACCUAAUUGAAAAGUGGGCAGUAUAUUUAAAUAAAUAUUUCUCCAAAGAAGACAUAUGGUUAGCCAUAGGCACAUGAAAAGAAUUAUUAUUUUUUUAAUUCAACCAGAGAGAGACCUAAACAAUUUUGGAUUGAGUUCCCUCCUGUGGAAAAAGAACUUAGUAAGCCUAGCCUGAUAUUAGUGGGUUAUUUUAAUCUCAUUGAAACUUUUUAGGGAUGUCUAAUAUUUAUAUCACCUUGUCCAUGUGCACCAAUUAUUUCUCAAUAUCAGAAUAAAUAAGUUAUAGUAGAAUCUUCGACCGUUAGAAGAAGCUUUUGGGCUUCAUUGCUUCCAAGAUUUCCCAGUAGGUGGCUAGUAUCCUCAAACUGUUUGGUAUGCAUUUUAUAUAGUUCUGUUUGAGGAUGUAAACAUCUUUAGGUUAGAUGUAAAGAUGUGGUCAGAUUUCCUUCAAUCCUAAACACUGGCUACUACCUUUCACCCAGCUGCUUCCCUCCUGAUGUUACCUACUAUGAAGGCAUUUGUGUUUAGGUCUCUGUAGAGGUUCUUCUCUUUGAGGUGAAUAAAAAUAUUAGGCUCAGAUGAUGUGAACAAUCUUCUCCCAAGUAAUUGCUGAAAUCUAAAAAUAUGGAGUCUCUUCUUGGCUCUGAAUGUAUCUAGGAAAAGGAUCUAACAUACUCCUCGCCAUGCUAUGAUUUACUUGAUAUUUUUCAUGUGCAUAAUUCAUUGCCAUCCAUUGCCAAUUUAUACAUAAGGAAAAGUUCAGAAAGUUGCAUUUUAUUAACCAUGCACCUGCUAUCUAUAUUUAAAUAAGAUCUUGAAAGUGCUGCAACAUAUUCAAAUAAAUCAUUUUCUUUUGUUACCUUUUAUAAGAAUUACUCUUUAUAAGAAAUUAAUUCUACCUGGAAUUAGAAAAAGGGAGUGAACAAUUCUCUUUACCUUUGAUCACACCUGGAUGUACUGGAUGGAAAGCUUUAAGGAGCUCCUCAGAUGUCUGACAUGAGGUUGACUUGUGUGAUUGGACCUAAUUCCAUGAGUAUGAGAAGCUUCUGGUACUUGAGACUCCUUGAAAGGGCCAAAUCUUUCAGCCCAGGACUUUUUGUUCUCCUCCGAGUUGCCGCCUUUUUAAGAAACUCUAAUGCUUUUUCAAGGAGAGACUUAACAGAUAUUGUAUGUACGUGUGUAUGGCUAGUUCACAUAGAAAGCAUGGCACAGACUGGCAGAGAGAAACAGAGUCUGCGGAAAGGUGUAAAACAGUCUGUUUAUGAACUGCAUGUACUGCAGGAGAGAACCGGCUUUGAAUCCUAGUCAUGUGCUGUCUUCAGAAAAGUGGUCACAGAACCCCAGGCUUCUGUCUCUCUCUGCUCUUCUUUCACCACCCAAUCCUGCCCCCUUUCCCUUCCUGCAAUAAUAAAUCAUCUGAGUGUAAAGGCAAGUAGAUGUUCCUCAGUGCUAAGAAAAGUGAGAUGGCAAGAAGACAAUGAGGCGUUGGGGAAGGCAUUGGUUCCAGAAAUUGGAUUCUAGGCAUGUAGUGCCAGGAUGGAGGACUUUUAUUUAAUUUUAUAGAAAAAUGUUCAGGUUAUUUUGCACUGAGAUGUGAAAUCUCAUUUGCAGCUAAGCCCCGGAGGGAGUGAAAGGAACUAGGAGAGCUCAUAAAGACAAGCAUAAUAGGAUUAAUAAGAAAAAGGCCGAAGACGUAAGCCUUUAUUGUAGGAACCCAGCGCUAAAUUUUAGCAUUGAUGAAGGGUGAAAUGUCGAUACUUAUCCAAACAUGUGUGCCUUCAGGAUACAAACUACUGACAGAUGGUGCCUUCAUAGGUUGGUACUGCUUGGGUAGGUUAUCUGCUCUUCCUGGGGGAGAGGGCCACUCUGUUAGAACAAAGAAAGAAAAUCACUGCAUGGCAGCAAUUCUGGAAACCUCAUUCAUAGAAAUAAUUCAGAAUGUAUCCUCUGUAAUUAAAACAGCAUUUAGGGUUGAAUAAUAAUCCAAUGAAUUAAGAAUUGGAAAAUCAUUUGACAAUCAAGGGCCUGAAUGUUAACUCAUCUGUUUAGAUAUUUAGGGCCUGAAUUUUUUUUUUUUAAAGCAAAUAGAAUUCUCAAUUUGAAGAGUCAAUUUAUAGGAGAGUUCCAGGUCACUCAUGAGCAUGGAUUAUAGUAUAAGGUGAUAAUCAAAUUGUCAGCUUCAUAGUUGGUUCUUUUUUCUUCUUUUAUAAAGGUCGAUUGCUACAAAAUAAUUUGGGCUGAAAAUGUGGCUGUCAAAGCAAUUUAAAUAACUGUACCAAAGGGAACAUCAUUUAGUUAUUUCGACUGCAGAGUCAUACCUUUAUUCAGGGUAAUAUUUGCAGCACCUAUUUUAUAACUGGGUAAAGAAGAUGAUGUUGACUCUAGGCUAAGGGACAGCCAGGUGCUGAUGAUUUCUACCCCCAAAGGGCUUCAUUCAUUUUUCUAAUUUAAGGCACUGAAUUGAUUUUUCCAGUAUUACUUUCCUAAUAAGAUCCAUGUACUUUUACACAAGUAUUAUUUUUAAAGCAAUAUUAAUGCUGCUAAAUCGACAAUUUAAGUGAACAGAAGUAUUACAGUUAUCAGGGGAACCAGUUCAAGAAUCUUAUAUACUACAGAUAAUGAUGCAAUUUAAGUUUAGAAAUAGUGUUGGACAUGAGAGGACACACCCAUCUAUCCCUAUUUUCUUUGUCUGUUUAACCAUAAGGAUUAAUGUUGUAAUGGUAGGCAUAUACUGUCAUUAAAGAGAUUUAAAUGAUAUAUAAACAGAUAUACAGUUCCAUAUUCCAGAAUUUAUAUUUUAAUUUUGUGCAAGGCAAGAACAUAUACAAUAUUUUCCUUGAUUUUAAUUCUUUUCAGAUAAAAGCAUUAAAAAUUUUUGUCUUCUUGAAAAUCUGAUAAUACUACCAAUACAUUCAUAUGCAGUAGGAACAGCUCUGUAUGGCUUUUAAGAGAUUAUCCUAAGGAAGCGGCACCAACUAGGUUGGGCGAAUCAUUUUUCCAUGCUUCAUUCAACAAUGCUUAUAUAUAAAUGGAAUAACAUCUGCUUUUAGUGUAGGAAGGCUACCUUCCAGUAGUAAGGCCUAGUCCUGAAGUGUUAUUGAAAAGAUAGUUUUGCCAGGAGAUCACAGAUUUUAGUUUAGUUUUUUUAAGGCCUGGAAGUAUAAACUAGAGUUCUUUUUAGGAAAGGUGGCCACUAAUUCUUCAAAUCACUUUAGAAGAGCUCAUGAGGGGAGUUCCCUGGUGGUCUAGUGGGUUAAGGAUCUGAUGUUGUUGCUGCUGUUACUCAGGUUGCUGCUGUGGUGCAGGUUUGAUCCCUUGGUCAAGGAACUUCCUCAUGCCA
rnacentral:lncRNA from 1 species